UACGAAGGGGGCUAGCGUUGUUCGGAUUUACUGGGCGUGAAGCGCACGUAGGCGGACUAUUAAGUCAGGGGUGAAAUCCCGGGGCUCAACCCCGGAACUGCCUUUGAUACUGGUAGUCUUGAGUUCGAGAGAGGUGAGUGGAAUUCCGAGUGUAGAGGUGAAAUUCGUAGAUAUUCGGAGGAACACCAGUGGCGAAGGCGGCUCACUGGCUCGAUACUGACGCUGAGGUGCGAAAGCGUGGGGAGCAAACAGG
rnacentral:rRNA from 1 species